rnacentral:rRNA from 1 species
GAUGAACGCUGGCGGCGUGCCUAAUACAUGCAAGUCGAGCGAACAGAUGAGGAGCUUGCUCCUCUGACGUUAGCGGCGGACGGGUGAGUAACACGUGGAUAACCUACCUAUAAGACUGGGAUAACUUCGGGAAACCGGAGCUAAUACCGGAUAAUAUAUUGAACCGCAUGGUUCAAUAGUGAAAGACGGUUUUGCUGUCACUUAUAGAUGGAUCCGCGCCGCAUUAGCUAGUUGGUAAGGUAACGGCUUACCAAGGCAACGAUGCGUAGCCGACCUGAGAGGAUGAUCAGCCACACUGGAACUGAGACACGGUCCAGACUCCUACGGGAGGCAGCAGUAGGGAAUCUUCCGCAAUGGGCGAAAGCCUGACGGAGCAACACCGCGUGAGUGAUGAAGGUCUUCGGAUCGUAAAACUCUGUUAUUAGGGAAGAACAAAUGUGUAAGUAACUAUGCACGUCUUGACGGUACCUAAUCAGAAAGCCACGGCUAACUACGUG